UGUAGUUCAGUGUCUGCGUCUAAGAGAGUACUUUGUUGCUGCACCCGCCAGAGGGAAGAAAUACUGUAUCUUCUCAUGAAGGAAGGAACCGAAGCUAUAUUAUUUCCCUUAUGUUGGACCAUAAAUCUAAAAUUGUAAUUAAAUGUCCAUCCUCCAAAAAUGGAUAUGCAAGCGUGUACAUGUCUUUAAAGGUAAGACACAGAAGCUGCCAAUGUAAUUUGUACAGAAGUUAUAUUUUUUAUCCGUGUGUGCACAUACAAGGUGGAAUGCCCAUUGUAUGAGGAACAUUCUGUACAUUGAUUAUGUGUAAUUGAAUGCAAGAACUUAUACAGAGGUACAUUAAGAUGAAGAAACAUGUUUAUCUUGUUCUCUCUUCUCUGUAGCAUUGAAAUUUCAGCUGCAAAGAAAAGGGUAGGCAAGUCAGGGCAAUGAUAAUUUUUCUCAAUUAAAACAAUUUUAAAAUCCAAAUGAAUACUAAGGGGAGAAAGAGAGCCAACUACCCAUAAGUAUUUAUAAUUUGAUUAAAAUUCUGUUUUGUUGAACUCUUCACAUUAUUUAAUAAGAGGUAGUGAGCUUAGAAUAGCUUACCCUGCUCAGAUAAACCAUUACAAGCUUUGCAAUUUACUAAUCAUCAAUCUAAAACAAAUUUCUGUAAUAUUUUAGCCCCUCUUCACUGAUACAUAAAGAGAACUUGCAUAUAAAAACAAUAGAGGAAUUCAAGAUUCUAUACAUUUAAAAUCUCAACUGUAGAAAUGAUUUUCUGCCAUAUCUAGUAAUUCAGAGCUAGACAAAACCAUUAAUUUGAUUAUAUACCUGCUAUGGUUUGAAUGUGUCCCCCAAAGUUUAUGUGUUGGAAACCUAAUUCUCAAUGUAAUGGUGUUGGGAGUUAGGGCCUAAUAAGAGGUGAUUAAAUUAUGAGAGUUCUGCCCUCAUGAAUGGACUAAUAUCAUUUUCCUUGGAGUGGGUUAGUUAUUAUGAGAAUGGUUUUGUUAUAAAAACAAGUUUGGCCCAUUCUUGCUAGCUUGCUUUUGCCUACUCUUGACCUUCUGCUUUCUGCCAUGGGAUGACAGAGAAUGUAGGCACUCACCUGCCAUUGCUAUGCAUUUGAAUUUCCAGUCUCCAGAACCAUGAACCAUGGUUCAUUAUAAACUAACAAGUCUGUGAGAGUCUGUUAUGAGUAUAAAAUGAACUAAGUCCCUAAUGUGCAAUAUGAAAAAAUGAAUACAAGAUUAAUCUCUCAGACUACCUUUCACUAUCCAGUGUAGAGAGAAUCAGUCCAGGGUAAAACUAACUUUAUGUAAUGAAGGAUAAAAGGAAGAAAUCAAAUUAAUGAAAAUUGAUGCAUGGAUUAGAAAAAAAAUCGUUAAAAAAAUUAAAUGGUUGUACCCAAAGGAGACACAAUGCAUGGUUUAAGUGGGAAACCUCACUGACCAUGACAUUUAUUUUUAAUUAGCAAUUCAACUAAUGUAUAGCAUCAGUAACAUUGUCAAUAAUUAUCUCCCAAGCUUUGUCAUUGUAUAUAAUUUAUAGAACUCUCCAUAUAUGUUGUUUUUUCAUACAUUUACAAUAUUUUUAAAAUUUAAACCAGUAGUCUAAUGUAAUAAGAACUAUUUCACUAUGAAAGAUAAAGAGUGUAAUAAUUCCUGUCAAAAGUCCAAUGGACAUUGUCUAGGUAAGCAGAAUCCAGAUAGUUCACCUGAAAAAUAGUAAAAUGUCCAAACAGCUUCAUAAAUAAAUAGACUAUGUUUAAUCUUAAAAAACUGCUAAUAUACAUAUUUGAUAUUAAGAAUUUUAAAAUUAAUUUCACUGGAGUUUGAGACUCUUAAUUUAGAGAAAAAUGUAACAUUUUAUAUAUACAGUUUUUGAAUUCAAUUUUUUUUAACAAUUGAAAAACCAUACCAUGCUAAGAAUUUGCAUUUGAACACUGAAAUAUUCUCUAAGUGGCCUGUUAGUGUAUUAAAAUUUCCUCUUAAACCUUUUUAUUUUUAUGUUUUUUUAAAGCUCCUAGUGGAAGGUUUGGCUACAUAAACUGUAUUUCAUAAAGUUCGGCUCUGAAGCAUAAUGCCAAUUGCACAGUUGCCCACAUUGAGCUAUGAAUGGGCAGCGUUUGUAACCAUGGAUAUGGUGAACUUAAUGCGAGAGCCAUAUUCAUCUGAGGCUUGCAAGGGUUGGACAGUGCCCUACCUAGAUAUUCUUUACUGGGUCAGUGAGCGAUCUCCAGCUGCCAAGUGAUGUCAGCUCACUCCAGAGAAUUGGCCUUGUCUGACAGAAGUAUGCCCAAUAAAAUGUAUGCAUAUGAAUCACUGUCUUAAACUCUACUUCUAGAAAAUCCAAACUAUGAGACUCUUAUUAAGAAAAAUAAGCAGUAUUUUUCUGAAAUUCUUAUUCUUUCUUUUUUUUCCCAAUAUAAAAGGUUUUUUUUUUCUUUUGCUAGUAUUGCAGAUUUUGUUUCACAUAGCAUUCUUUCUCUCUCUCUUUCGCUCCCUCUCUCUUAGUCUCUCUGUCAGCGGUCAGGGAUUAUUAUCAGUCUGUCAUGGGUCAGGGAUUAUUUGAUUUAACCUUCACAGUGCUUUUAGCAGAUAGGGAGCAUUAUCAUAACUGGUUUUAUUUUGACAACAGUUGGAGUAGCUGUAAAUUGGAUAAUAUAAAUAUUGGCCAAGGUCACACAUUUAGUAAGUGGUGGAGUUGAGAUUGCAAUCUGGUCUGUCUGACUCUAGAGUAACGGAACUCUUAACUGCUACGCCACACUGCGUCCCCUUAUAAUUUAGGGAGCCCAGUGUUGGUGAACGGUAGGACCUAUCACCAGCUCCCUCGUAGUCCAAUUAGAUGCUGAUCAAACAUCCUUUUCAAAUAUUCAGGCACAGAGAAUUGGGCAAAUUAUAAUUAUAUAUGUAGAGAGAAUGUAUAUGAAUAUGCUUUACACGUCCAUAUAAUUUAAAGAAAUUCAUCCAGGUAUGUUCAUUUGGGGCAAUAUCCUUUUGAGGCCUUGUGGAAAUAAACUAAUGAUUUCAAACAGAAAGCAAAAGAAAAACGGGAUGGUAGGAGUUCUGUUAGACAGGUGUUCUGUCCUUCGCCUACCUACUAACUUAAUGCAACUUUGCAAAUCUAUAGUAGGUUUUCUUUAGGACUACACUGCCCUGGUCCUUUGUUUAUGUUUUUCUCUCAUCCAUUGUGGAUUGUAAUGCCCUCAGUACUGAAUAAUAAACACAAGUCUGAUGGUAGGGGCUACCUAAUGAACUCUAUACCCUAUAUCUGCAUUUGUAUAUUUUUUCUCAAUUUAUGUUAGCUUCUUUGGUCUAAAGGUAGGAACUUAAACUUCCUAAUAUUUAUUUUCACUUGCGUUAAUGAUCUUUUGUUUAGAAUUAUUUAUGUACUCAUAAUAUUGCUCCUUAAUGUAUUCUUAAAUGUGUUACUUGGAAUCUUUCUCACAGAACUUUGGCAUGUUUCUAUGUUUAUACUUCCGGUUUUUUUUUUUAAUGCUUUAAUUAUCUAAAUUUUUAGUAUCUGAAUUAUUUACUUUUGUAUAUAUCUUUUAUUCUUAUCAAUGUUUACCUGGAGUAGUACAGGGACAAAUUCCAAUAUUCUUACUUAUCACAGCAUAUUACUUGGCAAGUCCUCAGAUUUAUCAGUAUUAUAUUUGAAGAUAAAGAACUAUCUAAUAAAA
rnacentral:lncRNA from 1 species